CGAGCACGCGCGUGUGGCAUAUCAAUAAGCGGAGGAAAAGGAACUAACAAGGAUUCCCCUAGUAACGGCGAGUGAAGCGGGAAGAGCUCAAAUUUGAAAUCUUAAAGGGUUUCCCUUUACGAAUUGUAGUUUAAAGAAGUGUUUUCUGUUGGAGUUUCGGUAAAAGUUCUUUGGAAUAGGACAUCAUAGAGGGUGAGAAUCCCGUAUUUGACCGUUACUUUCCAGCUUUGUGAUACACUUUCAAAGAGUCGGAUUGUUUGGGAAUGCAGUCCAAAAUGGGUGGUAAAUUUCAUCUAAAGCUAAAUAUUGGCGAGAGACCGAUAGCGAACAAGUACCGUGAGGGAAAGAUGAAAAGAACUUUGAAAAGAGAGUUAAACAGUACGUGAAAUUGUCAAAAGGGAAGCGUUUGACACCAGUGUUGUUUUUCGAAAAUCAAUUAAGAUAUGUUUCUAUUUUGAGGAGUAUUGACCUUAUCAGGCUUGCUUCUCUCUUUCUCGAAACUUAUUUAAUGCACUUUUCAGGUUAACAAGUCAACAUCAAUUUCUUUUGUUGUAAAAAGGGUAUGAGGAAGGUGGCUUUCUCUUCGGCGCAAGUGUUUAUAGCCUUGUACCCUCUGCAAUCGGAGAGAUUGAGGUCUGCAGCGUAGAUCCUUCGGGGUUAGAUACAUUUGUGCUAAGCUAUAGCCUUUUCAUAGACAACUUGUUGACUAUGCUCAGUCAUGUAGCUUACUCGCUUAUGCUAUUUUACCUACGCUUAGGAUGUUGAUGUGAUACUGCGAGCA
rnacentral:rRNA from 1 species